UAGUUUAGUUUACUAGUUGAGAAGCAAAGACAGAACGAUGAAGACUUUUGCUUCAUUUYUAUUAGUUUGUCUGUUUUCCUUGAUUUUGGCAAGAGAUAUUCCAGCAGAAAGAUGGAAAAACGAUAUGACAGGAGAAAGAGCAUUAAUGCAGCUUUCUGAUAAUCAAGAACAAUCCGCACGGACGUCCCGGAAAAGGACAUGUUUAGCCUGGUAUAGACGAAAAUGCGCAAAGAGGUCAGUGUUACUCAAGAAAUUGCAACAACCAUCUGUUGUUUCCGAACAGUUUGACGAUACAACCAAGUAAAGAAUUCGAAGAUAUCCUAUAUUCCCUAAUCGUGGUUAUCAAUUUUUCUCUAUCGACAAAACRGUUUAUAGUUAGUGGAUCAACAGACUCGCAAAUUAAGUUUUUCUUUCUUAACAAUUGUAUUGUUGUAAAAACAAUAAAUUAACUGCUCUUAUAAACAUAAUUUGUAUUUGAGAUUACCUCUUUAAAGGACCAGGGUCAGCGGGCGUUCAAUAAAGUCGUGCUUUAGAAUUUUAAGAUAUGGAAAAUAAAUAAAUAAAAAA